AAAUUCAAGUGCAAUCGUUAAUGUAAGAGGCCUAUUUUGCCCGGCCCAUUAGAAACUCAAAGAACAAAACAAAAAAAAAAUCCAAUAUUAAACCUAACCAAAAUCUAACCCAGAUACAAGACCAAAAAAAAUUUAAAUCAUAACAGCCCAGUUUACAGUCCAAUUACAAAAACUUGUGGCCCAUCUGCAAGAACAGGCCCGAAAAGCCCAAAAUAUCAAGGUUUCAGAAACCCUAGGGCUCUCUCCCACUUUCCGCCGCAGCCGAGCCCCCCGGCGCCUCCAUAUGCUCCAGCGUUUCAGCAACCACGCGCGCCUCCGUAUGCCAGCACAGUCCCCGUACGCCAACGCACACUCCGUACCUGCGAGUAAAUACAAAACCACACAACAGCAAAUACGAAAAGAAAAAUUUGUAUUUUUAUUUGGAUUUUUCUUAUUCUGUUUCGGCUAUAAAGCCAAGAACACGACCAUUGUAAUUUUUUUGACACGCAUAUUACGCGCUACACAAACUCAAUACAAAGAAAAAUCAAAACUUUGAAAGGUGAUUUUCCAGGGCUUCAUUUAUCUCCUUUUUGAAUCUGUUCUUUUCUUCCUAGUUUUGUGUAUAUACUCUUUAGCAUAAGAAAAUAAAACGAAAAGAAGGGUUUACCUUGCGAGCUAGCCAUCGUUUCCCUUUCACUUCUUUGAAAUCGAAGUCUGAACGGGGUCUCAAGGCCGAGAACCACUCCUUUGGAGUCCGAGUGCAUUGAUCACCGUUCGUGGUGGCGCAUUAGCGCCAAGGGGAGCAUUUGGGGCUUGACUGGGCAACAAAAGGGGGAGGCUAGGGCAUUGCUAGGGUUCAGUUGAAUGAAGGCACAUUUAUCCUUAUAAGGAAGCAAAAACGGCGCCGUUUAAACCAGAUGCAAUGGUUUAAAAACGACGUCGUUUGGAAACCAUGCCCGAUGACCCGACC
rnacentral:lncRNA from 1 species